rnacentral:rRNA from 1 species
UUCGCCGAUUGCCUUGAGUUGAUCAUGGCUCAGAACGAACGCUGGCGGCAUGCCUAACACAUGCAAGUCGAACGAGACCUUCGGGUCUAGUGGCGCACGGGUGCGUAACGCGUGGGAAUCUGCCCUCUGGUACGGAAUAACUCAGGGAAACUUGAGCUAAUACCGUAUAAUGACUUCGGUCCAAAGAUUUAUCGCCUGAGGAUGAGCCCGCGUCGGAUUAGCUAGUUGGUGAGGUAAAAGCUCACCAAGGCGACGAUCCGUAGCUGGUCUGAGAGGAUGAUCAGCCACACUGGGACUGAGACACGGCCCAGACUCCUACGGGAGGCAGCAGUGGGGAAUAUUGGACAAUGGGGGAAACCCUGAUCCAGCAAUGCCGCGUGAGUGAUGAAGGCCUUAGGGUUGUAAAGCUCUUUUACCCGGGAUGAUAAUGACAGUACCGGGAGAAUAAGCCCCGGCUAACUCCGUGCCAGCAGCCGCGGUAAUACGGAGGGGGCUAGCGUUGUUCGGAAUUACUGGGCGUAAAGCGCACGUAGGCGGCUUUGUAAGUUAGAGGUGAAAGCCCGGGGCUCAACUCCGGAAUUGCCUUUAAGACUGCAUCGCUAGAAUUGUGGAGAGGUAAGUGGAAUUCCGAGUGUAGAGGUGAAAUUCGUAGAUAUUCGGAAGAACACCAGUGGCGAAGGCGACUUACUGGACACAUAUUGACGCUGAGGUGCGAAAGCGUGNGGAGCAAACAGGAUUAGAUACCCUGGUAGUCCACGCCGUAAACGAUGAUGAC